rnacentral:pre_miRNA from 1 species
UAAAAAUUAUGAUGAGGUUAGCGAUCCCAAGCAGGGCCUAGCCCUGCGUUGCAGACAACGCAUCACCGCUCUGACCUU